rnacentral:lncRNA from 1 species
UAAUGACUCAUCAACUCUCUCUCCCCCCUAAAUAAUUGGGCAAAAGAAAAGAAAGAGAAAACUAAAAAUCAAAGUCAUUACCUCUCUCAUUUCUUCCACUUCCACCGACCAAGAGAGAGAAAACAGAGAGAGAUCAUCCAUGUAUGGAGCAAAGUAAGAGAGAGGUAGCCAUGGAAGGAGAAGAAGAGAUGAAGGGGAAGAGCACACAAAAGGUAUAAAAUCCUAACUAACUCAUGUAUUUGAUUUUUGGUUGUUUUGAACCAUGACGUUUAUGAUCUUGAGCAUUAAAACACUAGAUCUACUAGUUAGAAGAUGUUUUAUGUAUAGAUCUAACCAUUUUCGUGUUAAAAAGUUAGAUCAAAAGAAAGAUAUGUAAAGAACCUUUUGUACAAGUUUUGGACUGAGUUUGAGGCUCAUUUAUGACUAUGUUUUGUGUUAUGAAAACUUAGUUUGAAAGAAUUAUAUUGUAAUCAUAUGAAUUAUGAAAAUAAAACAACUUGAAUGAACCAAAUCGGAGAUAAAAUUAAUUCGUGGCGAAAGUUUUCGUAAAGCAUGUUAAAAUAAUGAAAUCUUAGUCUCAGGGCACUUUUGAACUAACUUUCGAACUAAUUAAUGAAACUAAAAAUUAUGAAUUCAUGGGGGUUUUUUAGAGCAUGUUACAGGCUUUCCAUAGCCUUAAAACGGACUAAUUCCGAUAAAGGAUGAAGCAGUUAUGAAGAUUUGAAAUAUUACAUUAAAAGUUGGAAAAUCUAAAAAUUUAACAAAUUGGGUAGCUAAGGUUGGAAGCCCCGGCUUUGGGCUGUAGAGAAAAUCUGGCUGAGGUUGGAAGCCCCAGCUUCCAAAUGGAUGCCUCGUCUUUGGGUAACAAGAGAUGAAAAGUCAUUUUUGACGUCCUUUAGUAAAUCGGGUGUAACGUUUUCAUACGAACUCCAAUUGAGGUGAUUCAGAAAGAUAACGAGUAGACCUACAACUUUUAUUCUUUGAGAUUUGAGGUGGAGAUAAAGGCUUAAAAUGAUCAUCUUUGGGACUGAUGUGCAUUCAAAUGCAAUCAGAGGGCGUCGGGCAUGCGAAUAUGCAACGCGUAAUGCUUUCGACGAUAAAGGAUGUUCUUCUAAGUUGUAAAACAGGAAAAUUUAUGAAAUAUAAUGAUAUAUAACAUUAAUCAAUGAUGAAUUAGAUAAGUAUAUGAGCAUGCUAAGCAUUCGUAAAGGAGGCGAAUCGGUCGUGUGACGUAUGAACAUCGAAACGCCGUGUCAAGUGUUAAUGAACUUAAAAAGUGUUCUGAUUCUAAUGAAACGAACAUUAUAAAAUAUGUGAUGAGUUUAAUAUUAACUAAUAAGGAUGGAUGGUUAUGAGGGUCGUGACGCCUAGCGAUAUCUUGAUGAUGGUCGCGUUAAUUAAAACUAUAAUGUGUGAACAAGAUGAAAUAAGAAUUAGUAUAUGUAAGCCAAUUUGAGCAUCAUUAAGUGACUAAUUGGUAUAUUCUACAUUAAUAAUAUUAGAUUAAAGCAUUAUUAGAGGAGUAAAAUAUUAUUAAAUAAUUAAUAAUAUUAGUAAAUGAUUAAAAUAUCAUUAAAUGAUUAAUAAUAUUUGUAAAUGAUUAAGAUAUUAUUAAAUGAUUAAUAAUAUUAUUAAAUUAUUAAAAUAUUAUUAAAUGCUUAAUAAUAUUAGUAACUGGUUAAGAUAUUAUUAAGUGAUUAAUAAUAUUAGACGGAAGUUUUAAGAUGAUGAUUAAAUGAUAGAAAUGUUAUCAAAGGAUGAUAAUAUUUCUAAGGAAUUAUCUGAUGUUUAAUUUUGUGACUAAAUAUUAGAUAAUUUAUUUAUAUAGAAAUAAUAUUAUGAGGUAUGAUAUGAUAUGUUGAUCGAAAGAUCAAUCUUAUAAAUGAUAGAUCUUUCCAUAAGAGCUUAUAUUAAUUAAUUGUGUAGCAGUAAUCGUCAAACAAGUCAAGUUUCUUAACUCAAACUCGAGUUAUUAUGUUUCAAGCAUGCUAGUGGUUUAAUUAUUGACAAUUAUUCCACAUCUAUGAUUAUUGAUUCGCACUUAGUACAAGUUUGAUAUGUUUAUCGGGUAUGAAAGGUUGAUCACCUUGAUUACCAAAAUAUUGUUCAUGGUCAUUGUUGACCACUCAGCGAUAUAGAUUCAGUUAUUCAAUUAUUGAAAUUUGAUUCUCAAUCUUACAGAAUUGUUAUAUAUUGUUAAAAUUCAGAAAGUUAUAUUCUUUUCUUCAAUCAUGAUAUAUCUUUAUUAAUUGUAUUUAAACUUGUUGAGCAAAGUAGUUGUUCACCCUUGCUAUAUCAUGAUAAUAUUUCAAUUUAACCCAAAUGCUCAAAGAUGGACAACGAUAAAGGCAAAGUUGGAGAUUAUUUUUAUAGAAAUAUUCAUCUAUUAUGAUAACUUACGUAAAUUGAUGAUGUAAACCUUGUGAAUUAUUAAAUGCAUGUAUGUAAUAAUUUAAGGUUGUAGUGACAUUGGGAAAUGUUAUAUAAUCAUUGUAUAAUAAACAAAUUAUGUUUAUAAUUCUGCAUUAGUUUAUAGAUUAUGUAUGAAGAUGAUGUAUCGUGACGCAUCAGGUUCGAUGUUCAAGGAGCCCGAAUUUGGGUGCGCUACAUGAUCGACCCCAAAAUACUUCUCAUAGAGAACUAUUCAGCCUGUCUUUUAAACUCAAGUAGUCUAUCGAAAAUAUUUAUAUAAAUAUACAAGUGUGAAAAAUUAUAAAUUUGGUCAGUACUUAGACACCGAAACAAUUUGAAUUGUUUCACCCUUGAAUAUAUGAUACCAAGAAUUGUUCAAAGGGCCGGUCUUUAAAAUCGUAAGUGACCUUAUUUAUAUAUUAUUCACAUAAUAGAUAAAAUAUCUUUAUAUAUUCUUUGAGUUAAACAAAUAUAUUUAAUAUAUCAAGUAUUGCUUAAUUGAUUUAUUUAUUAUACUUGAUAUCUGCCAUCACAAGUAUUUAAUCAUAAAUUCAUUUAUUCACAAAAUACUUGUUACAUAAUAUAAAAGUUAUUUAAACUUUUAUUAUAACAAACAAUAUCCGUUUAAAUCCAUAGAAACACAUUCUUUAUUAUAAAGAAUAAAUAAUUAUUUAUAAACUUGCAUUAAACUAUAUAUAUCUACUUAUUUAGAAGCAUUAUUGGACAUACACUUAAAUUUAUUUAUCUGCUUGAUCAAGAAGCAUUGUUACACAAAUAUAAAAGUUUUUAAACUUUUAUAACUAAGUCAAAAUUUACAUCUGCUUAACAAGAAGUAAAUUGUUAUGUAAAAGUCUUUAAACUUUUUGAUCUUUAAUUUCUAUCUGCUUAUUUAAGAAACAUCAAUUUGUACUAAAUUUUAUCUGCUUGUUUAAGAAGUAAAUUAUAGUAAAAUAUUUUGUAAAAAGGGAAAAGUCAGAGUUAGUUUAUUUUAUGUACCUGUGAGAAAAAUGACUAAUUCUUUGACCAAGACCAGAGUCUUAGAGAGAUCAGCUGGGAGUUGGGUCUUUAGUGAACUUAUAAAGUGAAGAAGAGGUGGUUGUUUUAAGACCAGAUCAUAGAAAUAGAACUGAACUCAAAAGAAGGUACAACUAAACUUGAGGAGGGAGCUGGGAAGCUUGUUGUCCAAGAUAGGUAGUUGUGAAAAGUUGGAAGUUUGUCUAUAAAACUUUGUAAAGGCUUUUUCGCCUGUUGAAGGAGUAUUUAUUGCUGAUAGUAAUAGGAUCUCAAGUCCUGAAGAGGAUCUUGAGACUAGACGUAGCAACAUACCCGGGAUGUAUGUUGUGAACCAGACAAAUCUUUGUGCAUUGUGUGAUUGAAUUUUUAUUAUCUUGUAUAUUAAUUUCUAACACCGCAAAUUAAUUAACUAAAAAUUCAAAAAGACCUAAGAUAAAAUUUUUUAAUUUAUAAUAAUCUAUUCAACCCUCCUUCUAGAUUAUUAUUGGACUUUCAAUGAUGUUACUACUUUCGAUGAUUCUGUGUUUAGUCCAAUAUGUCCGUAGAUAAAAGGUCGUAAAAAAAGCAACACGGUUAAAAAGUAGUUUUGAACAAUUCAUAGGACAGAAGGCACUUCGAAUGUGUGUUUAAUAUGUGGAAUAUUUACAAACCAUGAUAAGUGAAACCAUUAUAAAGCUUUAGGAUUGCAAAGGCCUGAAGCUUCAUAAUUUAAUUUCUCUAUAUGAAUUUUGAGAAACAGUUACUUAGGCAGUGUUAUUUUUUGCUUUUGCUCUAUCUCUGUAUUUACAUGCAUGUUAAUAAACUCAUUUUGAAUUGUGCAUCCUCCCGUCAACAUUAUUAAACUACGGACGCUAAAAGAAUGAAAGUAGGUACCAUCCGAAAUAUUAAACUGCAGAAUCUAGAUAGUAAAAGAAACUGGGAAUCGACGUCAUUUUUUAGAAAGUCUCGUCCACAAUUAAACUGUGAAUGAUAGGUCAAUUAUUUAACAAGAAAUGUGUUGCCAUGAUGGGUCAAUUAUUUAGCUCUUCUAUGCAAACACUAUAAGUGUAAUCAUAACAUGUUGAGAUUAUUCGGAAUAACUCAACAUUUUGUGAUAGCACUUCAGGGUUUGCAUAAAAAAGUUAAACAAUUAACCAAUCCUGGCAGCACAUUUCUUGUUACAUAAUUAACUAUACAUUUUGAAACUUCUCUAUAUAGAUUUUAGAGUAGUAUUCUCUGUAUGGAUUUCUUGUUAGAUUUUAAAGCUCAAAAUCCUUUAUUUUCUCUUUCAUAUUGUUAGCCCAACAACAUUAAUUUUUACCACACUUCUAUGCAAUGAUACCAAUAUGAAAGAAGAAAUAGAAAAUUAUGGAGCCUUAAUUCAAACUAAGUUAUGCUAUGGAGUUUACUGUAUUUAUAAUAGAGACCUAGCGUCCGCAGUAUUAAACUGUAGACAUGACUUUUCAGAUUCCGACCUUCUCACUUUCCCGGUGUGUGUCUUUUAAUUGGACUUAGAGUCCGCAUUAUUAAACUGCGGACGAGACUUAUGAGUUUCCUAGCGUCGUUUGGUUAAAUCGGGGUGUCGUUUUGGGUAUCCUAGAAUCCACAUUUUAAUAAUUCGAACGAUAAUAUAAUUCUCAAUAGAAGUUAGCGUCUGCAGUUUAAUACUGCAGACGAUAGACUUUCACAAGGAGGGCAAUAUAGGUCAUUUGUCUCGUCCGUAGUGUGAAACCCCAGAUUUUAUGAAUAAAGAAUUAAUUUUCUCGAAAUAAUUUUUAUAUUAUGGUGUGAAUUUGAGAUAAUGUUAUAGUUGUGGGUAAUAUUUAUAAAUUUUGCAAAGUAUGCAAGUUGUCAUAUUAUAUUCGAUUGGUCGGGGAAUAUUCGUUUUAAACAGGAAAUAUUCGUACGACGGCACAAUCAUUGGUGGACCCCACAACGGAAUUAUUGUCGGAUUGAGAAAACGACAAAAAUAUUUUAUUGAAAAUAACGGCGGAAGUUUUACCGUUGAUACUGUUGAACUACUCGGUAGUAAAAGUACAGUAAUACGCGUUGUUGCAUAGUAGCACACGGUAUUGAUUAUUGAUAUUUAUGUGAGAAGUCACUCAGUUUUGUUCAAUUAUUGCUACAAUAGUUGCUGCAUAGUAUCUCACAUUAUUUGAUUCAAUUAUUGUUGAUUUAGAAGUUUUGUUUUAUUCAUAUUAUUAACGUAAUAAAAUAGAAACAUCUUUUUAUAUAAAACAGAAUACUUUAUUAAAGUUAUUCUAUAAAUAGAAUAUAUUAUAUUCUAUUAUGCAUAGUGUUUUGCAUAGUAAAAUCUUUUUAUAUAAAACAGAAUACUUUAUUAAAGUUAUUCUAUAAAUAGAAUAUAUUAUAUUUUAUUAUGCAUAGUGUUUGCAUAGUGCCCGCAUAGUGUUUGCAUAGUAAAAAUCUUUUUAUAUAAAUAGAAUAUAUUAUAUUUUAUUUAAAAGAUUUUUCUUUAAAUAUGGACCGUCAGAUUAAAGUAAAUCAAUCUGGACCGUUCAUGGAUUAGUUACUAUGCAUUCCAUUUUCCUAUAAAUAGAAGCUCAUUCCUUCAUUAUUUUCUUACGAAUUCACUGAACUCUAGAGAGAGAAACUAUAGAGAGAGACUAUAGAGAGAUAGAAGAAAAGUUUUCUGCUACUUCACUACUCUUAUAUCAAGUAUUAUUUUACGGUAAGGGAUAUUAUUCUUUUGUAUUCAAGAAGAGAACUUCUGUUAUUCCAUUUCUUUAUUGUUCUGUUGGAAUAACCUGUAUACGCGGGCUACCCUAUACUUGGUGACAUUCUUCUAUUAUUCUGUCUUUAUUAUUCUGUCGGAAUAUCCUGUCUGUGCUAUACGCCGGACCUGGUUCCAUUUUUAUUAUUCCGUCUUUAUUAUUCUGUCGGAAUAUCCUGUCUGUGCUAUACGCCGGACCUGGUUCCAUCAUUUAUUAUUCCGCAUUUAUUAUUCUGUUGGAACAUCCUGUCGGUGUGAAUUUCACCUGACCUGGUUCCGUUAUUAUUAUUCUGUUGGAAUAACCGUCUAUGCGAAGUACCGCAUGCAUGGUGAUAUCUUUUGUUAUUCCAUUCGGUAUUAUACUCAGUUGAUUAAAAUUUUGACUUCUAUACUCCAUGAAAUUAGUGGAAUAUCCUUGAUAUUUGCGCUUCAUCCAGUAUCUUUUCGUGGAAAUAUUCUUCUGAGCAUUCUUGAAUUUUACUCUACAAAGCAGUAUCAUGUUGACAAUUUGGACGUUAUUGGUUCCUGGACAAAUUAAUUCUUGAACUUGUUUAAUUGAAUUCUUAUAUCAUUGUCAUCAUCCUCAUGUUUAUGUUAUGUUGAAAGUCAUCUGUGGCCUGUAGUGCAUAGAUGGACUUGGUAUGAUUAUGACCAGGGAUUAUUCGGUAUAAUCAUGACCGUAAUGUUACAAAUGAUGUGAAAAUUAAAAGUCCUCAUUGGCCCGUAGUGCAUUGAUGGACAGUUUUUGGUAUGAUUAUGGCUAUGGAUUCUCUUCGGCCAAGGGAGCAAAGAUGAAUUGUUUUAUGGCAUGAUCAGGACCGUUGAUGAAAACACGAUUAUCUUUGGCCCGUAGUGCAUGGAUAAUUCGUGGUCGUGAUACUAAAGAAUAUCCUUGGCCUGUAGUGCAGGGAUGAUUUAAUGAUGUGGAUUAUUUAUUGAGCUGAGUCUCAGCGAUAAAAGUGAUGAAAAACUUUUUAAAUCAUAAAAGAUAGUAGAUUCUAUUCUCUACUUGACUCUUUUAAUGGAUUGCUUGUUCCGCUGCAGUUAAACUUGAUGUCUAUUGUAUUUUAUCAGUUUAACAUUGUUGGAGGCUAAUGAUAAUUUAUUCUGCAUUAUCUUAGUCAUAAUAUUUCUUACUGGGCUAGUUGAGCUCACCCUUUCUUUCACUGUUCUCUUCAGGAAAUGAGAAUAUAGCUGGGACGAGUCGGGGAACGGAGUGAUGGUCCAGAGGAUAGCAUUAGUAGUCCUCACUAUUCUGUGAAAUAG